GACGAACGCUGGCGGCGUGCUUAACACAUGCAAGUCGAACGGAAAGGCCCUGCUUUUGUGGGGUGCUCGAGUGGCGAACGGGUGAGUAACACGUGAGUAACCUGCCCUUGACUUUGGGAUAACUUCAGGAAACUGGGGCUAAUACCGGAUAGGAGCUCCUGCUGCAUGGUGGGGGUUGGAAAGUUUCGGCGGUUGGGGAUGGACUCGCGGCUUAUCAGCUUGUUGGUGGGGUAGUGGCUUACCAAGGCUUUGGCGGGUAGCCGGCCUGAGAGGGUGACCGGCCACAUUGGGACUGAGAUGCGGCCCAGACUCCUACGGGAGGCAGCAGUGGGGAAUAUUGCACAAUGGGCGGAAGCCUGAUGCAGCAACGCCGCGUGCGGGAUGACGGCCUUCGGGUUGUAAACCGCUUCCGCCUGUGACGAAGCGUGAGUGACGGUAAUGGGUAAAGAAGCACCGGCUAACUACGUGCCAGCAGCCGCGGUGAUACGUAGGGUGCGAGCGUUGUCCGGAUUUAUUGGGCGUAAAGGGCUCGUAGGUGGUUGAUCGCGUCGGAAGUGUAAUCUUGGGGCUUAACCCUGAGUGUGCUUUCGAUACGGGUUGACUUGAGGAAGGUAGGGGAGAAUGGAAUUCCUGGUGGAGCGGUGGAAUGCGCAGAUAUCAGGAGGAACACCAGUGGCGAAGGCGGUUCUCUGGGCCUUUCCUGACGCUGAGGAGCGAAAGCGUGGGGAGCGAACAGGCUUAGAUACCCUGGUAGUCCACGCUGUAAACGGUGGGUACUAGGUGUGGGGUCCAUUCCACGGGUUCCGUGCCGUAGCUAACGCUUUAAGUACCCCGCCUGGGGAGUACGGCCGCAAGGCUAAAACUCAAAGGAAUUGACGGGGCCCCGCACAAGCGGCGGAGCAUGCGGAUUAAUUCGAUGCAACGCGUAGAACCUUACCUGGGUUUGACAUGGAUCGGGAGUGCUCAGAGAUGGGUGUGCCUCUUUUGGGGUCGGUUCACAGGUGGUGCAUGCCUGUCGUCAGCUCGUGUCGUGAGAUGUUGGGUUAAGUCCCGCAACGAGCGCAACCCUUGUUCACUGUUGCCAGCACGUUAUGGUGGGGACUCAGUGGAGACCGCCGGGGUCAACUCGGAGGAAGGUGGGGAUGACGUCAAGUCAUCAUGCCCCUUAUGUCCAGGGCUUCACGCAUGCUACAAUGGCUGGUACAGAGAGUGGCGAGCCUGUGAGGGUGAGCGAAUCUCGGAAAGCCGGUCUCAGUUCGGAUUGGGGUCUGCAACUCGACCUCAUGAAGUCGGAGUCGCUAGUAAUCGCAGAUCAGCAACGCUGCGGUGAAUACGUUCCCGGG
rnacentral:rRNA from 1 species